UACGGAAGGGGCAAGCGUUGUUCGGAAUCAUUGGGCGUAAAGGGCGCGUAGGUGGUUCUGUAUGUCUACCGUGAAAGCGUACGGCUCAACCGUAUUUUGUCGGUGGAAACUGCAGGACUUGAGGCUGGGAGGGGCUGGUGGAAUUCCCUGUGUAGCGGUGAAAUGCGUAGAGAUGGGGGAGAACACUCGUGGCGAAGGCGGCCAGCUAGACCAGUUCUGACACUGAGGCGCGACAGCGUGGGUAGCAAACAGG
rnacentral:rRNA from 1 species